GUAAUCGCGGAUCAGAAUGCCGCGGUGAAUACGUUCCCGGGUCUUGUACACACCGCCCGUCACACCAUGGGAGUCGAUAACGCCCGAAGUCAGUGACCCAACCUGUAAGGAGGGAGCUGCCGAAGGCGGGAUUGAUAACUGGGGUGAAGUCGUAACAAGGUAGC
rnacentral:rRNA from 1 species